GACGAACGCUGGCGGCGUGCUUAACACAUGCAAGUCGAACGGAAAGGCCCUGCUUUUGUGGGGUGCUCGAGUGGCGAACGGGUGAGUAACACGUGAGUAACCUGCCCUUGACUUUGGGAUAACUUCAGGAAACUGGGGCUAAUACCGGAUAGGAGCUCCUGCUGCAUGGUGGGGGUUGGAAAGUUUCGGCGGUUGGGGAUGGACUCGCGGCUUAUCAGCUUGUUGGUGGGGUAGUGGCUUACCAAGGCUUUGACGGGUAGCCGGCCUGAGAGGGUGACGGGCCACAUUGGGACUGAUAUACGGCCCAGACUCCUACGGGAGGCAGCAGUGGGGAAUAUUGCACAAUGGGCGGAAGCCUGAUGCAGCAACGCCGCGUGCGGGAUGACGGCCUUCGGGUUGUAAACCGCUUUCGCCUGUGACGAAGCGUGAGUGACGGUAAUGGGUAAAGAAGCACCGGCUAACUACGUG
rnacentral:rRNA from 1 species